rnacentral:rRNA from 1 species
AGUCAUAUGCUUGUCUCAAAGAUUAAGCCAUGCAUGUCUCAGUACAAGCCAUAUUAAGGUGAAACCGCGAAAGGCUCAUUAAAUCAGUUAUGGUUCCUUAGAUCGUMCCCACAUUUACUUGGAUAACUGUGGUAAUUCUAGAGCUAAUACAUGCAAACAGAGCUCCGACCGGAGACGGAAGKAGUGCUUUUAUUAGAUCAAAACCAAUCGGCGGCAAUUUUGUAUCCACUUGAUUGUUCGUCGCACUUUUUGGUGACUCUGAAUAACUUUUGGCUGAUCGCACGGUCUUGCACCGGCGACGCAUCUUUCAAAUGUCUGCCUUAUCAACUGUCGAUGGUAGGUUCUGCGCCUACCAUGGUUGUAACGGGUAACGGGGAAUUAGGGUUCGAUUCCGGAGAGGGAGCCUGAGAAACGGCUACCACAUCCAAGGAAGGCAGCAGGCGCGCAAAUUACCCACUCCCGGCACGGGGAGGUAGUGACGAAAAAUAACGAUACGGGACUCAUCCGAGGCCCCGUAAUCGGAAUGAGUACACUUUAAAUUCUUUCACAAAAAUCAAUUGGAGGGUAAGUCUGGUGCCAGCAGCCGCGGUAAUUCCAGCUCCAAUAGCGUAU